rnacentral:tRNA from 1 species
GUAGUCGUAGCUUAAUGGCAUAGCGGUGGGUUGUGGUUCCAUAGGUUGCGAGUUCGAAUCUCGUCGAUUACC